CCUACGGGUGGCUGCAGUGAGGAAUAUUGGUCAAUGGGCGCGAGCCUGAACCAGCCAAGUAGCGUGAAGGAUGACUGCCCUACGGGUUGUAAACUUCUUUUGUAAAGGAAUAAAGUGAGGCACGUGUGCCUGUCUGUAUGUACUUUAUGAAUAAGGAUCGGCUAACUCCGUGCCAGCAGCCGCGGUAAUACGGAGGAUUCGAGCGUUAUCCGGAUUUAUUGGGUUUAAAGGGUGCGUAGAUGGUCUGUUAAGUCAGAUGUGAAAGUUUGAGGCUCAACCGUAGAAUUGCCUCUGAUACUGGUCGGCUAGAGUGCAGUUGCGGUAGGCGGAAUGUGUGGUGUAGCGGUGAAAUGCUUAGAGAUCACACAGAACUCCGAUUGCGAAGGCAGCUUACUAAGCUACUUCUGACAUUGAUGCACGAAAGUGUGGGUAUCAAACAGGAUUAGAUACCCGAGUAGUC
rnacentral:rRNA from 1 species